CGGGUGAGUAAUGUCUGGGAAACUGCCUGAUGGAGGGGGAUAACUGCUGGAAACGGUAGCUAAUACCGCAUAACGUCGCAAGACCAAAGAGGGGGACCUUCGGGCCUCUUGCCAUCGGAUGUGCCCAGAUGGGAUUAGCUAGUAGGUGGGGUAACGGCUCACCUAGGCGACGAUCCCUAGCUGGUCUGAGAGGAUGACCAGCCACACUGGAACUGAGACACGGCCCAG
rnacentral:rRNA from 1 species